ensembl:lncRNA
CUGGCCUUAAACCCGAAAGAGCAAACAACAGUAGUGUUGAAUUUCAGUGGCUAAGAAAAACUCCCUAAGAAGGCAAACAUUAGGAAGAAACCUAGAGAGGACCCAGGCUCAGAGUGGUGACCAGUCCACUUCUAGCUGGUUUAGGUCACACUCUCAUGGUAUUGAUGGCUGGUGUAGGUCACACUCUCAUGGAAUUGAUGGCUGGUGUAGGUCACACUCUCAUGGUAUUGAUGGCUGAGUAGGUACUGAAGUCAGAGUUCUGGAUUUUAUUCUUCUUCUUUGGUCUCUUCUGUCCUUGACGGAUGUCCAAUGAGGCAUAACACAGGUCUUCUUCCUC